rnacentral:tRNA from 1 species
GGGCUGCUUGCUCCACGCCGCACUGUAAAUGCGGUCCCGUUUAUCAACAGGUGGAGUGGCCACGGUGAGAGGUUCGAUUCCUCAGCGGCCCACCA